rnacentral:rRNA from 1 species
GACGAACGCUGGCGGCGCGCUUAACACAUGCAAGUCGAACGGAAAGGCCUGCUUUCCCUUGUGGAUUGCGGGUACUCGAGUGGCGAACGGGUGAGUAACACGUGAGUGAUCUGCCCCCAACUUGGGUAUAAGCCUGUGAAACUGGGUCUAAUUCCCGAUAGGACUGCAGGGUGGUGCCUGUGGUGGAAAACGAUUUUCUAGUGGUUGGGGAUGAGCUCGCGGCCUAUCAGCUUGUUGGUGGGGUAAUGGCCUACCAAGGCGGCGACGGGUAGCCGGCCUGAGAGGGUGGACGGGAACAUUGGGACUGAGAUACGGGCCAGACUCCUACGGGAGGCAGCAGUGGGGAAUAUUGCACAAUGGGAGGAAGCCUGAUGCAGCGACGCCGCGUGGGGGAUGACGGCCUUCGGGUUGUAAACUCCUUUCGACCGCGAGGAAGCCACCUGGUUGGAAGGGUGGUGACGGUAGUGGUAGAAGAAGCACCGGCUAACUACGUG